GCUAACCCUGUCAACGCUGACUCUCAGAACAGCGUCAACGUGCGUCUGCCGCCUCUGCGUCCCCACCACGACAUCAGUGCGCUCAGAGCUGUCUAGGGGAAACUUGACAGAUUUCAAUCGCACAGUAAUUCUGCAACUGGUAAAGAGGAAGGGCUUCUGUUUGAUAAGCGGUAACAACUAUCUAGUGGACAUGAACAAGUGGAAUAACCAACACGUGUUGAACAGGAGAAAAAGACAACGACGUUUAUUUUGAUCGUUUUAUACCUUAUCAUCCAUGAAGAAGACAAACAUUGGACAGAGCGUUUGCACCUUCGCACUACUGCUGUCGACUUUGGUGACAGGUGGCGAAAAAGGCAGAACUCCACUCACGGACGAUGUGGGCACACUGGACGUUCUGAAAGGAAACAUUCCCCAGGACUACAGAAUCCCACUUAAUCACGCUCCUAAAGCAGUG